UUCAACGUGAGCUCUGAUUGGUGGAGGUUUCGAAAGGGGUGUGGAGGAACGGGGACGAUUGCAAAUACUUCCUCUCCGUGCUUUAGGAAAGUCAGAUAAUAAUACACUUUCUUUCUAGAGCACUUUUCUUAUCAAUGUUACAAAGUGCUGUAGGAAAAAUAAAAACCAAACAACAAGAUAAAUGACAAUAAGGAGCAUGAGCACAGAAGCAAUAAAACAAUAGAAUGAGUAGAAACAAUGAAGAGGAAUACAAACACUACAAAUAGAAACAUAUCAAAUAUUCCCAAAAGCUUGCACAAUAAAAGUUUUAAGACCUGGGAAUAAACAGCAGGACUACAUCCGUGGAUCUCAGGGGUCAAGGGAGCACAUACAAGGAUAAUAAAUCAGAAAUGUAUGUGGGAGCAAGCCCAUUUAAAUGUAGUUGUAUCUGUUAAAACGCGCUCUCAAUCAUCAUUCUUGUUGUAAAAAAGAAAAAACUGUUGGCAUACUGUAGGAUGUUGAGGGUGAGUUUGGGUUUUGUUCAGCGAAUAGGGACAGUAGCACAGAAAAUACCAAUGCCGUUUCUAACUCCUGAUUGGGUGCGAAGCCUACAGCCAACUGCUCCCCUCUCUUCUCCUGUUCAAACUCAGACUGCACACACACAGGGCAAGACAAAGCAAAUGAAAGCAUACACACUGUCCCACUGCGUGUGAAAAAUCACACACUCACCUGCUCUAGCUCAUGUAUGAAUUGGAACAAAUUAGUGUUCUAAAUGUUUGUUUAACUUUAGUUAAAGGUCCAGUGUGUAACAUUUAGGAGGAUCUUGUCGUGUAUCAAAAUGAUCUUCAGGACAUAAGACAAACAACUUCUCUCAGUUAAGAAGUUUAUUUAGAAUUGUAUAAUUAAAAUUAGAGUUGUUCCGAUUCCGAUACCAGUAUCGGGAAUGCCUCCGAUACUGCCGAAAAUGCUGGCAUCGGUAUCGGCAAGUACUGAAGUCCAGGCACCGAUCCGCGCGCGCUAAAGUGCCCUCUUGGGAGCCAAAACUUGCUAAAGUGUCCUAUUGGGAGGCAAAAACGCGUGUUAAAGUGCCCUCCUGGUUGGCAAAAUACACUAAAUUGCCCUCAUGGGUGGAGAAAACAAUCAACUGCCCUCUUCUUAGUUCUAUUAUUAAGUAGAGAUGCCUAUUGCAUGUUUAAGGAGCUACCUCACUACGUCUUGUGGGAAUAGCUUUUCAAAGCUAGCAAGUAAAGUUAAAAGUUGGGUUAGCAUUGCAUAUCAGGGUUUCCGCCAGGUUUAAGUUGACUCCCCGCCGGGGUAAGCAUCUGGGAUCAUUUGUAAAAAUGCUUUCUUGAAAAUGCCUUUUAAACUUCAGCUUGCAAGUUAAGGACAGAAGUAGGCUAUGCUAUUGAGUAGGCUAGCGGCUAAUGCUAGCAGCUAGUUGAGAGGGAAAGAGAGAGACCAGUGUGAUGAUCAGCUAAGAAGAACAGAGCUGGAUUCAGAAUGCCCAGGAAAGAAAGAAAACAGAAAGUCGUUAAAAAGCAGCUGGAAACUUCUGCAAAAGGCACCUUGUCUUUGAAAGAUUGGAUCGUAGGAAACAAAGGAGGAGAUCAAUGAUAGAGGAGAAUGCUGACCACUGCUGACCACUACUGACCGCUACUGACUGUCAGGGUUGACUGGGAUGCUGAAGAAAUGCAGAAAAAAAUAUUAACUGUCAUAUUUAAAGGAGUCAUAUUUUACGCUACGGCCCCUCCCACUUCUGCCUCAGCAUUGCCGGUGUUUUGGUAGGUAGCUCUUCACUGCUACUGAGUUUAGUUGCAUUUCUACCCCGAAUAUUAAUUCAAUAACUGCUCCUAAACCAAAAACUUUGCUACCGGACUUGUUAGAGCGGGAGUCUAACUCACGGAGAGAUGAACAACAUCAACAAUCAGGAUUACAGCUUUCUGUGACGUUUUCUUCAGAUUCAGUGUGACAGCUGUUGCAGGUGGUUCCACAAUCAGUGCCUACAAAUGGACACAGCAGAGCUGGAAAAAUAAGAAGAAUGUGGACUGGAAUUGCAUCUUGUGUGAAAAGAAAAUCCAAUGACCAAAAGAUACACGGACCAGACCCUUCUGCAUCCAACAGGUUGAUAGAUGACAUCGCAGAGGAAGAGGCCUCUCCACUCAUUCACCGCUUGCGGCGUCCUAAACGUCCUAACCCCGAUCCGAAUACAUACCCUGAAAUCCCCCCCUUAAGAGAAUCAGCCAGCACUAGCAAUAGAGCAUCAGCUAACACUAUGCCCACUCUCUGUGCCACGAGGACUUCUGGGGGUCCACACACUCUUGGACUUUCUUGAGGAGGAGACAUGUGAAACAAAAAGGCAAGACAGAACUAACAGGAAGGUGGCAGGUGAGAAGAGGUAAAUGAACAGGAAGAAGAGUUAUUUGUCCCAGAAUCAUUUAUGAUACAACUAGAGUUGAUCCAACAUUGUUUUUAUUGCUUCUCAUUUGUACAAUAGCGUUCUGGUUUUAAUCACCGGGUUUAUAACACAAGCAGUAUUGCAAACAACUUUGUAAUCAUUGCAUUGAAAUGAAAAAGGCAACUGGGUUUAUGACAAACUGAGCUACAGAGGAUCUUAAAAUCAUUUGGAAAGUAGACGGUUAAACGAGAAACUGACAAACCAACAGAGGGACAGUUACAAAGAGGAAGUGUGAAAGGAGAUGGAAAAGUAUUGAGGGAAAAAUAUGACUGCAGACACUCCCCUCUGCUGUUGAGUUGAUUCAUGCAAUCUGUGUGACCGGGCAGUGCUCAGGCUGAUCCAGGAACAGCGUCUGGAACAUGUGAUUGUAGAAAGAGGGGUGGUAGAGGCAGGCCCGGGCGCAGUCUGGGCUGAAGUUCAACUCCAGGAUCUGAGGCUGCAUGACCCGCUCACCUGACCCAGGAUCAGAAAGCACACAAAA